rfam:Pteropus alecto contig92638, whole genome shotgun sequence.
GUCCACAGCCAUGCUACCCUGAACAAGGCCGAUCCCAGUCUGAUCUCGGAAGCUAAGCAGGGUUGGGCUUGGUUAGUACUUGGAUGGGAGACCACCUAGGAAGACCAGGUGCUGUAGGCG